ACAACCUUUUAGCUUUAUUUUUUAUGAACAGGGAGAAAAGAACUGUAUAGAAAGAGAGACAACCGGGAGAGAAGGGAAGAGCAAAGAGAGGGAGAGAGAGAGAGAGAUAGGGAGAUAUAGAGAGGUAGUGAGAUAGAGCGGUAGAGAGGGGGAGCGACCAAGUCGGGGAUGAGUCUAAUUACCACCACUCCGAGUCCAGUGAUGUUCCAUUGGCUCCCUCUAUGGUGUCCAAGCAUCGCAGGUUUUGUUGAAGCAGGUCCCGGAAGGUGCACGAGGAGGAGAGGAAGAAGGAGAAAAAGCCCCGCCACCUACCGGAGCUCCUUUAUAUAGGGUCCCACGCUCAUGCGUAGAUCGUGACUGCAUACGUGCAGUUCGUGCGGUACGUGUUGCCUCCUCGGGAAGCCUUUUCGCGCCCUGGUUCUCGUGCAUGCGCACGGUGGUGCUCGUCCGCAGACUCCGAGGCAGGAUGUUAAUGUAGGGAAAUGGUGGUGCGACGGCAAUGUUGAGACAAACUGCAUACAGUAGUGGUCCGCUACAGUUAUCAACAUUAUUCUCGCAAUAAAUCCAAAACACAGCACUAUACCAGCUGCUGGAAAGAAAAUUAACUCUAUCUCAGCUGAAACAAGGACAGAGGCUUUCCCUCCCUGCUGGUAUCUCCAUGGCAGAUGUGUCCUGGAAAAGUGCUGAGCUGAGGAUAGCUGAUCCCAUCUGCCCACACUCAGGUCCAAGGGUUGGUUGUGCCUGGUCCUCUGCACCCCACACCCACCCAUCUGUGGGGCAGGACGGUGAUGGGUUGAACCCCCUCACCACAGGAGACAGCCCUGAGCAGGGAUAUUAGGCACAAGGGCAUCCUGCUGUGGGGCAGAUGGAGAUGGAGACCUGCAGUCCAACCCACACCUUAGAGGCCUGCAGCAACAGGUUGCCAAGGGGCUGAAGGUUUUGGUGAUUUCAUAGAAUCAUAGAAUAAUAGAAUGGUUUGGGUUGGAAGGGACCUCAAAGACCAUCUAGUUCCAACCCCCCUGCUGUGGGCAGGGACACCCUCCACUGGACCAGGUUGCUCAAAGCCUCAUCCAGUGUGGCCUUAAACACUUCCAGGGAUGGGGCAUCCACAACCUCUCUGGGCAACCUCUUCCAGUGCCUUACCACCCUCACAGGGAAGAAUUCUUUCUAACAUCUAAUCUAAAUCAACCCUCUUUUAGUUUAAACCCAUUACCCCUUGUCCUAUCACUAUGCUCCCUCAUAAACAGUCCCUCACCAUCUUUCCUGGAGGCCCCUUCAGGUACUGGAAGGCCACAAUUAGGUCUCCCUGGAUCCCUCUCUUCUCCAGGCUGAACAACCCCAACUCUCUCAGCCUGUCUUCAUAGCAAAGGUGCUCCAGCCCUCCAAUCAGCUUUGUGGCCCUCCUCUGGACUCGCUCCAACAGCUCCAUGUCCUUCUUGUACUGUGGACCCCAGAGCUGGAUGCAGUAGUACAGAGAGGUCUCAUGAGAGAGGAGCAGAGGGGCAGAAUCACCUCCCUUGACCUGCUGGUCACACUGUUUUGGAUGCAGCCCAGGAUACGGUUGGCUUUCUGGGCUGCAAGUGUGCAUUGCUGGCUCAUGUUGAUCUGCUCAUCAAUCAAUACCCCCAAGUCCUUCUCCUCAGGGCUACUCUCAAUCUAUUAUCGACCCAGCCUGUAGUUGUGGUUGGCAUUGUGCCGACCCACGUGCAGGACCUUCCACUUGGCCUUGUUGAACUUCAUGUGAUUGACAUGGACCCACCUCUACAGCCUCUCCAGGUUGGCAUCCCUUCCCUCCAGCGUGCCCACCACACCACACAGCUUGGUGUCGUCGGCAAACUUGCUGAGGGUGCACUUGAUCCCACUGUCUGUGUCACUGACAAAGAUGUUAAACAGUGCUGGUCCCAGCACCAACCCCUGAGGGAUGCCACUUGUCACUGAUCUCCACUUGGACAUUGAGCCGUUGACCACAACUCUUUGAGUGCAACCAUCCAGCCAGUUCCUUAUUCACCGAGUGGUCCGUCCAUUGAAUCCAUGUCUCUCCAAUGUAGAGACAGGGAUGUCAUGUGGGACAGUGUCAAAUGCCUUGCACGACUCCAGGUAGAUGACGUCUGUCGCUCUUCCCUUGUCCACCAAUGCUGUGACCCCAUCAUAGAAGGCCACCAAAUUUGUCAGGCAUGAUUUGCCCUUAGUGAAGCCAUGUUGGCUGUCACUAAUCACCUCCUUGUUUUCCAUGUGCCAGAGCAUAGUUUCCGGGAGGAUCUGCUCCAUGAUCUUGCCAGGCACAGAGGUGAGACUGACCAACCUGCAGUUCCCUGUGUCUUCCUUUUUACCCUUUUUAACAACGGGGGUUAUGUUUCCCCUUUUCCAGUCAGUGGGAACUUCACUGGACUGCCAGGAUGUCUCAGAUAUGAUGGAGAGUGGCUUGGCCACUUCAUCCACCAGUUCCCUCAGGACACACAGAUGCAUCUCAUCAGGUCCCAUGUACUUGUGCACCUCCAGGUUCCUUAGAUAUUCUCAGAAUUGAUCUUCUCUUACACUGGGCGGUUCUUCAUUCUCCCAGUCCCUGAUUUAGCUUUCUGUGACCUGGGCAGUGUGGCUAGAGCCCUUGCUGGUGAAGACUGAGGCAAAGAAGUCGAGUACCUCAGCCUCCUCCAUAUCCUGGGUAACCAGGUCUCCCAUUUCAUUCUGGAGGGGACCCACAUGUUCCCUCAUCUUCCUUUUAUAACUGAUGUACCUGUAGAAACUUUUCUUGUUGUCCUUAAACAUCCCUGGCCAGAUUUAAUCCUAUCAGGGCUUUGGCUUUCCUAACCUGAUCCCUGGCUGCUCAGAAAUUUUCUCUGCAUUCCUCCCAGUGUACCCGCCCUUGCUCCCACCCUCUGUUUUACACCGUGGGUUAACCAUCUCAAUCUAUAUCAACACACCAUGGCUUUAUUUUUCUUUCUCUAGGCAUCUCUCAUUGCAUCCUGCCUCGUUUCCCCUUUUAUUGAAAAACUUAAUUUUCAGAUUUGAGCACUAUCUGCACUCCUCCUCUAAUUUCUUUAAUUUUAUACCUCUCCAGUUUGAGGUCUCAGUCUGCACAAGUACAGCUGGAACUUGGUUUCAGCUCUCAUAAUCUUGGCUACUUUAUGGCCUGACACUGAUUAUGGCAAUAAUGCAAUGGCAAGAAGCAAUGGCUUCUCCCCUUUACUCUUUAGCAACAAGGAAAAAAAAAAACCCGAGGGAAAAAAAAAACCAAACUUACGUUGGAAGGGACCUCUGAAGGGACUUCUGGAUGUCCUCUAGCCCAAUGUCCUGAUCAAAGGGGGUUUAGUUAGAUGAGGAUGCUUGAGCCUUGAAUCCUCCAUGGAUGGAAUUCACUCAGCUGCUUGUAAUAUUUGACCACCCUCAUGGUAAAAAGCUACCAAAAAAAUUUUUCCUUACAUUUAACUGGAAUUUCUCAUGUUGCAGCUUGUGCCUGUUGCCUCUUACCCAACCAAGGUGCAUCUCCAAGAAGAUGUCAUACUGUGGUGGGUUGACCCUGGCUGGGGGCCAGGUGCCCACCAGAGCCGCUCUAUCACUCCCCUCUUCAGUAAGGCAGGGAGGGGAGAAAGGAGGAUGGAAAAAACAACCCCAAACUCGUGGGUCGAGGUAAAGGCAGUUUAAUGUAGCUAAAGCAAAAAGACGCAUGCAGAAGCAAAGCGAAAAGCAAAAGAUUAUUCUCUACUUCCCAUCAGCAGGCGAUGUCCGGCAACAAAUGCCCCCGCCCUGUUCCUCCCCCUAUCUCUCACUUUCUUAUUGCUGAGCAGACGUCAUAUGGUAUGGAAUAUCCCUUUGGUCAGUUUGGGUCAGCUGUCCUAGCUGUGUCCCCUCCCAAGGUCUUGCCCACCCCCAGCCUGCUGCUGGGGGGGAAAAGAAAUGUUGGAGAGAGCCUUGGUGUGUGCUGGCACUGCUCAGUAGUAGCCAAAACACUGGUGUGUUAUCAACAGUUUGCUAGCUACCAACACACAGCACAGCACCGUGAGGGCUGCUGUGGGGAGAAUUAACUCCAUCUCAGCCAGACCCAAUACACAUACGAACAGAAGAAUGUAGCAAGGAUGUUGAGCCCCAAACGGCUCCCUGAGCCUUGCAGACAUUGUUACCUGGAGAGGUUGUGGAGGCUCCAUCCUUGGAGAUAUUCAAAAGGCAUCUGGACAAGGUUGGCAACUGGCUCCAGGUGGUCCUGUUGAGUUGGGGGGAGUUGGACCAGAAGUCCCUUCCAACCUCUACAAGUCUAUGUUUCUGUGAUUCUGUACAAACUACGUGACAUGUGAAACCACAGACUUCAAAAUCUACAGAGUGUAGGUGUAUACGUACCUAAUUACUGUGUGUGCUUUAAUUUUCACUUCCUCUCUGCUGUUUAAUCAUUUGCAGACAUGGUGAUAGAAAGUGUAGAAGAUGACAAGCGGUGUGAUACAGAGGCAUAGAAGACUUCCUUAGUCUGCUGAGUUGGUGAAGUAUUGACGACGGAACAAAAUGCAAGUUAGAAAGCAAUUCUUCAGUUUAUGGAGAAAUCAUUAUAAUGUGUUGUCUGUAACACUUUAUUCCAUAAUUCUGAUUGUGGUCGAAGAAAUAAUGGAGAUUGAAUUUAAAUGUCCACAGAAGAAGGCAUUACAGAAAUUCUAUGUUGCUUCCUACUUUUUCUGUCCAGCAUUCAUUACAUUUUUCCUGAGCUUGACCUCCCACCCUGCCUGCAUUCCCUGGGCUCGCUGCAUUGGGAAAUGCUCGUGCUGCCGGAAGAGUGAGAUAAUUUUUAAGGCACUUCUACCUCCUCUGAUUUGGUGCGUGAUCCUCCUGUGCGAUGGCAGAUAUAUUGACUGUGUGUUUUCAACAAAUGAAGGAAACGACAACAAAAACGCAAACCAAAGCAGAGCAGCAGAAUUACCCAGUGAAUUCUACAUAAUGUCUCAGAUUGCAGGGUUGUUCAUUCUUGCUUUUGUCGUCACUCUUUAUGGCCUGUACCAUGUGUACCCGUUCUGGUUCUGCUGUAACUAUGAAGGACAUGAGAGAGAGGAGCUGGAGAGCCUAUUAGAGGAAGAAACAAGGAAACAUAUUGAAGAAAUGAAGAAAGAGGGUGCAGAGCAGAUAAUGGAACAGAAAGUGAAACCUUCUCUCCAGCGUGUUGAUACAAAUUUCUGGAAAAACGUAGAUUUAAGAAAAAUAGCGAAAAAAAUACAGGAAGUUGUAGAGUCUGCUGUUAGAGAUACAUGGGCGGCAAGACAACAAACAGAUGAACAAAAUGUGCCUCUCACCUCUCGCGUUGACAUGACCACCGCAGAACUGACCCUAUCAAGUAACACUUUGUGCUGAAGAGGUGUGCAGCUACUGUUGGGCCAGAACAGUUGCCGAUGCGGUAACACCAGGAUGCUCAAUCUGUCCAUCCUGGGCUUGGUGAGGGAAAGCACUCACCCUGCUCCCACCUCAGUCCUCCUGACCGCUGAAGCAGGUCUGGCUUUUUCGGUGUAGUCAGAAGAGUAAGUUGGGUUUAUUGUCCUGCUCCAGCCAGGGUCAUCAAGCUGAUGGGUACCAUCAGUCACCUUAUUAUCGUGGCCCUCAUUUUUUUGCUCUUCUACCUCUCUCUCUUCACCCCAGUGUUGAGUUUCUGGUCCCAGUUUUACUAUAUCUGUACUCAAAACUGGUAGUUCUAUCCUGUUACCUGGUGCUUCCUCAACAUUGUGCUGGUUUGCGCCAUUCCUGCUUGCAAGGAAUUAGCUAGUGCCUGAUUGCAAUAAAACUUAAUGAGCAC